UCAUUAUUUUAUUCAAUAAAAAAAAUUGAGAGUUUUAUUCUCUCUUUGGCUUGUCUUUGAAUUCUUGCAAAUUCAAUGUGAGAUUCAAUAAUGACUUAUCAAAUGGAAUCACCAACCCCAUUUGUAGCUUCUGUCACGAAUAUGGACUCAGUGGAGCUUGAAGACAAGCCUGGUUUCGAUGCUAUGACUGAUUUGGGGAAGAAAGGGGAUUUGGAGGAGAAAGGCUUGGUGGAGAAUAAACAAACACAUGGCUAAAGUGGUUGUUGAUAAAAGUAGAAGUUGCACUUCUUUAAAUAGCAUUAUCCCUUUUACUUGAUAUUGCUUUUGUUACUUUAGUUUAUUUUUCAGAUUAUGCUCGUUGUUGCUUGGGACCACUAGUAUAAGUAUUUCCUUGUUUUUCCAGAAAGCCAUGAAUGGGAAUUAACAAUUUCUUCAUCCUUAUUUCUCUCUCUUCCCUAUUCCUAUCUUCUAUUUCACGAUCUGCACUUCCAAUUCAAUAUACAUAUAUCUGGGCCCACUACAAUUGGUAUCUAGAGUCAGUUUUUGCAUCUUUAGCAAAUUCUGGGCGAGUCAUGGCGGAAGCAACUCGAUUUAAGGACCUGCAAGAAGCAAAAAAGAAAUUAGAUCAAAUUCUACAAACUGAAACCAUGAAAAGGGUGGCAGCUGAGGAGAAAAUUCAUGAGCAAAUGUCAGCAAUAGAUCAGAAGGUGGAACACAAGAUAAGGGGUAUUGAUCAUAAGUGUGAUCAUCUAGCUAAACUUAUGGCUGAUAUUCAAUUGCAAUUGAUGAAUGUGGGCAAAGACGUGGGCAAAUCAGAUUCCUCAAUUCUGGGUAAAGAUCCACUACACCUACAGUCUGCUAUUUCUGCAGCAGAAAAAGCAUUUGUUUCAUACCCAAAAACACGGUAUGUGUCUUCUUCAAUGGGUUAUGUAAUGCUUUAUACAGAACCAGUUCUUAUUUGGUGACUAUUGUGCUAGCACUUGUAUUUGCUAAUUGUUUGCGUUGUUGCUUAUCUGAUUGUUGAAAAGUUUUUUGUCUCUUUCUUCUUGUUGAAUACUGACAUCCUAUAGUUGCGCUAGUUUUUGUGAUUGGCAUAGGUAUUCUCCUAUUUUUAAUUUUUUUGGGACUGAUUUGCAUAUUUGGAUUUAUUUGUUAUGUCUUUUGGGUCGUAGAUGCCGGGUGAGGGUAUUCGCGACUCCAAGAUUGUGUUAUUGUUAGUGCAAGAAGUUUUGCGACAACAAUUGAUGCAAAUAGCAAUUGUUCUUGCGUUUGUUGAUACUUUGUGUUCAAGAAGAAGAACUAAUGAGGGGAUAGCAGCUAGGUUCAGUAUGAUACGUCGUAUGCCUGAUCAAGAAAGGCAUUUAGAACGUGUAACUGGUGGUAGUGAUGUAGACUGUAUCAAUAACCUUCUAAUGGACCGUAAUACAUUUGGGCGAUUGUGUCAGCUAUUGAGGGAAAGAGGGGAAUUAGUUGAUGGGCGAUAUGUUUAUGUGGAGUAACAAGUUGCUGUGUUCGUCUCAGUCCUUGCCCAUCACAAAAAAAACCGAAUAGUAGGGUUUGAUUUUUUGCGAUCCGGACAAACUAUAUCACAUUAUGUCCAUGCCGUUUUAGGGGCUGUUAUACGAUUGCAUGCAACAUUCUUAGCAAAACCAGAGGCUGUCACGGAUGAUUGCACAGACGAAAGGUGGAAAUGGUUCAAGGGCUGCUUAGGUGCAUUAGAUGGAACCUAUGUGAAUGUAUUGGUUAGCAAUACCGACACACCGAGAUAUAGAACAAGGAAAGGUGAAAUUUCAACGAAUGUUUUAGCUGUUUGCGAUCGCAAUGGUCUAUUUAUCUAUGCACUAUCCGGAUGGGAAGGAUCGGCAUCGGAUAGUAGGAUUUUAAGAGAUGCCUUGAGCCGCCCACACGGCUUAAAGGUGCCACGGGGGAGAUAUUACUUGUGUGACAAUGGAUUUUUGUCUCCGUUCAAAGGUGUACGAUAUCAUUUGAAGGAAUGGGGUCCAAUGGGUUCACGGCCUCAAAAUAAAGAAGAACUAUUUAACCUACGUCAUAGGAAAGCGAGGAAUAUCAUAGAAAGAGCAUUUGGAAUAAUAAAGAUGCGAUGGGGAAUUCUGAGAUCUACCACUUUCUAUCCAAUAAAGACUCAGAAUAGGCUAAUUAUGGCAUGUUUCUUACUGCAUAACUUCAUCCGUAGGGAGAUGUCUGUUGAUCCGGUAGAGCUAGAAUAUGAUGGGGAAAAUGAGGGACAUGGUGGUUUAGAAGGAGAGGUUGAUGAUUUUGUUGACACUAUUGAAUCUUCACCUCAAUGGACUGCCAUGAGGGAUGCAUUAGCAGAGGAAAUGUGGAUACAAUACCUAAAUACUAAUUAGGAUUGCGUCUAGCUCAGAAGUUUCAUCAAACAACCCAAUUUGCAGCUGCCGCUUAACUAUGAUUGUUUUUUGUUGUUAGCUUUCCCCCUUAGGGGCUCCCACUUGCAUAUUUUGUUGAUCGCAAAUGGUUAAGGGAGUUCCCCUUUUGUCAUUUCUGUAAGGGGGUCUGUUUAGUUUGUUUCCUUCAUCUGGUAGAAUAUGUAUAUAAAGUAUGAAGUAUGAAGCUUGUUUAUUCUGUGAAGGUUUGUCUAAAUGGCGCAAAA